rnacentral:tRNA from 1 species
GGCCUGCGGGGCCGCUGGGCGGCGGGAGCAUGACUGGCUUCGGUCCGCUGGUCGGAGCGGGAGGGCUGUUCGGCACGGCGGCGGAUCU